rnacentral:lncRNA from 1 species
UUAGAAAAAGGGAGAGAGAGAACAUAGGUUAGAGGAAGAAAGAGCAUAAUUAAAGAAAUAAGAAGAGAAAUAGAGUUGAGAUUAGAGGGAGUGAGAGAGUUGAGAUUUUAGAAAAAGAGGGAAAAGAGAGCUUAGUUUAGAGAGAGAAAAAGAGUUGAAGUUAGAGAGAAAAAUAGGUUUAGAGAGAGAUAUGAGGUUAGAGUUAAGAAAAUAAUACCAAAAUAGCCGGCGCGGAUAGAGAGAAAGAAAGAGAUUAGACAUAUUAUGAUUAUCCAAUCCAUUAAUAUGAUGAUACUCACCCUCCCUCAAGGAAAAUGAAAUUAGUACUUUGGGAUAAUCUUAUUCCCAAGUAUCAAUAUUACCACUAAAUUAAUAGUGCGUUUAGCCAAACACCGUCAUAUUUUUGUUAUUCCUUUUGGAUUAUUGGGAAUCUAAAAAGAANNNNNNNNNNNNNNNNNNNNNNNNNUUGAAAAAGAAUGGUUCCCGUGUGGGGAUUAGUUUUUAAAUUGAUUUCUCUGUAGUUUUAUGGACUUAGUAUUUCAAAAUCAGUUUCCAGGUAGGAAACAUUUUAACUGAUAGAUGUGGAAUGUUAUUCAUAAUUCAAGUAUCAUAUCUGCGUGUGUGAAUGGAAUGGAUGAAUGUUAUCUAUCUUGUUGUUCAUCUGGUUGUGGUUGUGAUUGUAUGUGUAUCUAUACUCUGUUGUACUUGUGCGACGCCGUGCAAAUACAGGGGAGACUCUGUCCGUGUGAACAGUGGAGCUCCUGUAUUUGUGGCGGAUCUGGCACACUCUGGGGUCAGAUUUUCAAAAAAAAAUUUUCAGACGCUUUUCCGCUACCUUUUAAACUAAAAGGGACCCCGGGGCGUGACAAUACUUUUGCAAUUCUCACGACUAAUUUAUUAAAAUAAAUAAUUAAUUUAAACUAUAUUAAUCUCUCUAUUUUUUUUUCUAUCUACAUAUAUUGUGAGAUCCCUGGUGUUCAGCUGUGGAGGCUUGUCGGCAGCUCUGGAGAGUGUCGGGACAAGUUCGAGUCGCGUUGGCGUCAAAUAGACGUAAAACGGGCUCCGUGCGACGCGAGGGCAGUUUUUAGCGAAGAAAAUCUGCAAUUUGCUCAUUUUCUGCUUGCUGUACCGGUACAGCCAUCGUGGUGUACCGGUACACUACACAGAUUACGCGCAUACUGCUCUCGGGUUGGCUUCCUAUACCGGUACGCAAUCCCGUGUACCGGUACACCAGGGUAGGUAAGAGGGAGUUUUGGUCUUUUCUCUCAUUCGUUUGUAUCACCACCCCACCUACUUCUAUAUACAGGCGUAGAGCUCUUGAGAGGGAGUGUUCUUGCUACUCCUUCUUCCCUUCUCUCUCUCUAGCUUGGUUUGACCGUGGAGAGCUCGGUUGGAGAAUCCGUCGCCGACAUCGCGCCGCGGAACCGUUUGAGCUCGCGUUUGACGCCGGGGUAGCGCGAGGAGGCCAGGCGAGCGGAGGUUUUCGCCGUUUUUGCUGUCGCAGCGGUGCCCGGUGUUGUCGAGGUGAGUAAUUCAGCAUUUCCCUGGAUUUUGGGCAAGUUUUUACUACUUCAACUCGGAGAAUUGUUGUUUGCUGAAAUCCACCGUCGACUGUCAGUAUUUUAGCUCGUACGCGACGUAGGAGCUUCAGAUUGCGACGAGACUUGGUUCGUUGGAUUCGGGACUUCGAGAGGAAUCCACGAAGCCCUUACUUGCGAAUUUUGGUGAAGUAACAGCUUGGUCGAAAUCCUUCUCUUCUCUGCUGCUAUGGAUUUUGGACUGAAUUGAGGAAUUUUGGUGUUUUUAGUUUGGAGUUAGCUCGAUUUCGAGACUCGAGCGUGUUUGGUCGAUCCAGCAGGUGGUGUCGCAGCUAAGGGGGUUCCGUGCUGUCAGGGAUUAGCGUGCGAGGUGGGUUACAUCGGUUUUACUCCUAAGUUCACAUUCGUCGACAUGUAUAGUUUCGAUUUUUGGAUUAAUCUAUUCUAACUCGAAUUCAUGGAUUAAAUGGUAGAUUUCAUAUCUGAAUUUGGAGCAUGUGGUAAUAAAUUGAAUAGGUUAUACAUAUUAGACUUGGAAAUUGAAUUAGGAGAAAAUCUGCGAUUUGGACCUGUCACUUGAUUAAACUGCCUAAUUUAGCUCUAGGAGCCGAUAUUAAAUUGUACUGUCGUAGUAUCUUCGAGACGAGUACUUCAGGUAGUUUAGAAUAUAUUUUUGCUCGUGCUGGUGUGCCGAGUGGAUUUUUACAGGGCCUGCUGGUGUUCCGAACUGUUGGGUGCCGUAAGAGUUGAUGGUGGACCCAUAUCGCCUUUUUGGCGUCAGAUUGUGCUGAGGGCACGUUACUUGUUGGUUACUUGACUUUGGCUUUUCAGAGCCUGAUUGAGCUCGACAGAGAUACGCUGCAUACUCAGUUGGGUAGCGCCCACGAGUGCCACUCCGGAGUCAGGCUUUGUGCAUUNAAAAAAAAAAAAAAAAAAAAAAAAUUCUUGCGCUCUAAAUCCUCAACCCAUAUACGUACGUUUCAACCUUCAAGUACAAUUUGCUCGGGGCCCAAUCCCCAUACACUUCAAAGCUCACUAAUUUGCACACCUACCAGCUGGCUCUUCUAAUUUAUUUUGUUUGCAGAGUUUUAGUUUAGAUUCAAAAUUUGUGAGAUACUGCUUGUAAAAAUGGCUCUAUUAAUAUUACCUUUUUUGAAAUUAAAGGCCAAAUCUCUUUGCCCUCUCUGUGUCCUACACCAAAGCCUCUCCGCCGCUCCCUUGUAAGAAAAUCAUGUAUGUACAAACUCGAAUGAACUCGAAUCUUUAGUUGAAAUGGUUACAAAAUGGUUGCGCCUAAACUCCUAGCGACGUCAGGGUUAUCGUGGGUUGUGAUUCUUCAUAUCUGAAUACGCUCGAUAGUCAAUAACCUGUUAAGGACAAUGUUUAAAGGUGUCCGAAGUAUUUCUACGCCGAAAAUCGUUUAUUGUGAUUCAUCUAACCACUACACAUAUUCAUGUUCCAAAAAUAACUGCCCUAAGCAGACAGCAAACAUUAGAAUGUUAGCAUUCUAACUUACCAAACUCACACAAGUGACUCCUCUCCUAUCUUUAUCUAUCAAGUGGGUGCAAAGAGACAAGAAUCUUAUCUUGUGGUAGGAAUUCAGGUUGGAUCGAGUCUCGUUCAAAAUAGAGAAAGACAGAAUUGGUUCUGAGUCAUGUUCAAAGUGGUAUAAGGCAGGAUCGAAUCAUGGAUAUUUGAGUUUUAUUUUAUUUAUGACUGUUGAUUGGUGGACUCUGCAUGUAUAUAAUAUAUAUGGCGAAAUUCCUAUAUAUAUGAUCUGUUAUUUGAAAACAGACUUUCGAACUUGCAAAAAGAGAUACUGUAUUUGGAUAACAAGAGUAAUUAAUGACUUUUGCAACAAAAUAUUUUAUUUUCUUUCUUAAAAAAAAAAAAUCUAACAAAAAUGUUCAACUUUUGGAACCCUAAAAACUCUCAUCUUCUUUUAAACAUCAUCUGGGAUUAAUCGUGGAGUAACGCGGAAUGCACCGAAGUACUUUACCAUUAGGGUGCGUUUGGUUUACACUAUGAAAGAUUACUAGCAAUAAAAAGAUGUCCGAGAUUCUUAUUCCUAUUCAUCCUAUUACUAAGAAUGUGUUAUUCCUGUGUUUGGUUUGCACGGUUAUAUUAUUUAGUCAUAUUAUUUAAGCUUACAAAAAAUAUACAACUAAUUUAUUUAUUUCUUUAAUUAAUUUUAGAUAAUGCCACCAAAAAUAUCAACAUCUUUUUAGAAAAAGGGAGAGAGAGAACAUAGGUUAGAGAGAGAGAGCAUAAUUAAAGAAAUAAGAAGAGAAAUAGAGUUGAGAUUAGAGGGAGUGAGAGAGUUGAGAUUUUAGAAAAAGAGGGGAAAAGAGAGCUUAGUUUAGAGAGAGAAAAAGAGUUGAAGUUUAGAGAGAAAAAAUAGGUUUAGAGAGAGAUAUGAGGUUAGAGUGUAAAGAAAAAUAAUACCAACUAGCCGGCGGCGGAUAGAGAGAAAGAAAGAGAUUAGACAUAUUAUGAUUAUCCCAAUCCAUUAAUAUGAUGAUACUCACCCUCCCUCAAGGGAAUGAAAUUAGUACUUUGGGAUUAAUCUUAUUCCCAAGUAAAUCUAAUAUUACCAACUAGAUUAAUUAGUGCGUUUAGCCAAACACCGUCAUAUUUUGUUAUUCCUUUUGGAUUAUUAGGAAUCUUAAAAAGAUAGCGCGAACCAAACGCACCCUUAGAGUUACGGAGUUUGAUCGAAUAUUAUAUUAUUACUUUGAUGAUCUUUCUUGUAUGCCUGAAUGAGAGCCAGUUCAUGGUUUAGCAUUUUAGAAUCAAUUUUCUAUCAUGUGCUAUAUAUCUUCAAAAUAUAUAUGAAGAGCUAUAGUAAUCAUC